UUCUUUCUUCCAAUUAACUUCCCAUCAGAAGGUAGAGAAGAUGUUUUCUAGAAGACAAAAAAAGUUAAAUUUACCCUGAUCUUUAUACAGUUUUCACCCCCGGGAUCUUACAGUUUUCCCUCACUUGCUAAAACACACUUUCUGAAACCUUGCUCCGGUUUCCGACACCGUUAAACAAAACCUCAAGCGCUGUUUACAAAACCUCUGACUCGUCUCGUAAAACGAAACCGUCGCCUCGAAACAGUUUCACCCGUGUUCAAAAUCGAGCACCGAUCUCAAAUCAUAAACAAAGUGAUCAAAAUGAUACGCACUGCCAAGCAGCCAGUGAACAACACGCAGAAAAACAGGAAACACAUUGUUCACAACAUAGUUCUCAGGGAUAGAUCCUAGCAGCUCAGCGGUUGUGUUCAGUCCAUCACGUGUUCUCUGUUUGUGAUUGAUUGCCGUCACUUGUGUUUAUCAGUAUGGAUGACGUUCAGAACGUGUUUGGAGAAUGAGGAGGUGUUUAGAGUUUUGCCGAAACGUCUAAGAGAGAUGUGACGUGGUUUGAGGUUUUGAUAACAGACUGCACAGACGAGGUCGGCCGAUGGGUUUUAGUGUUUCAGCAAGUCAGAAAAACUGUAAGGCGUCAUUCUACGAAUAAAUGCAUAUUGCGUGUGCAUCGUUAUUAGACCAAAAAAUGCUUUCUACAAAAUAACCAGAAAUUAUUCUUAAGCAGCAAAUGAUUCUGAUUUCUGAAGGAUCACGUGAUGGUGCUGAAAAUUCAGAUUUGAUCGUGGAAAUAAAUUAUAUUUGAACACAUAUUCAAACUGGAAACAGCUAUUCGAAACUGUAAUAAUAUUUCACAAUUUUUACUGUAUUUGUGGCCAAAUAAAGAUUUAAGAAGACUUCUUCAACCUCAUCCCUUUUGAUUAGCAGUUUCCAAAUAUGCAACUGCUCUCUCAAUUAUGGACAUUUCUUUCAAGACCAAACAGUAGCUGGACGAAUCGCUCAGAAUGGUUUCAGUAAACAGAGUUGAGCCUCGGCUCAGUUAAUCCAGCAAACAAACGCACUUACUGAAACCAAACCUAACCGCGUUACAGCGUCCAGACCGAUCCAGGCUCGCGUUUGACGCCGGUAACGUGACAUCCAUGUGCGCGACGCGCCACGGAGGACGCCGAGCUGCAGCGCCGUGACCGGCCAACAGAGGCUUGCCAUUACCUCAUCCGUUCUCGCGCUCGCACGCGUCUGCGUUGCCGCCCCGGGCUCGUUCCGGGCCACGAGGUGAGCGCGCGCGCGGCUUUGUGCGCGGAGGCGAGCCGGCGGUCGAACUUUCGCGGGGCUCCGCGAGGCCGCAGAACCGACGCACAACAAGUGACGCCUCGGGCGGCCAACUCUCUCUCCCGAGCACAAAAGACCGCGCGCGCCGUCGCUCUCCAGCGCGCGAGCGGAGACCCGCGGCGCCUUCCGACGGCGCCGCAUCUCUACACAGACGCGCUCUCCAUUUUCUGCUCUUCCGCGCAAACAAAGACGCGCCGCGAAGAUGGAAACCGGGAGACGGGUCGCUUUUCUCCUCCUUCCCGCUAUCGGAGAGCGUCGUCAGCGUCGCUCUCAUUCACAAACUCACCGAUGCCGUUGCCAUGGGAACCGUCUCCAUCAAAGAGACGCGCGUCAUGUGACGGGGACACAGCCUAGGUCCUCAGCUGCUUCAUCAGUGAAAGACACGGACCGGCAGAACAGUCGUUCGUUUAUUCCUUUUAUAAAAACGCAGCAUAUUUCUAACCAGAUUUAUAGAUUUUUAAGCGGGGUGUAUGUACAGCGGGGGAGCUCG